rnacentral:rRNA from 1 species
UGAGCAACCUGCCCUUGGCUUCGGGAUAACUCCGGGAAACCGGGGCUAAUACCGGAUGUGACGCGCCCGCGCAUGGGGGUGUGUGGAAAGAUUUAUUGGCCAGGGAUGGGCUCGCGGCUUAUCAGCUUGUUGGGUGGGGUGAUGGCCUACCAAGGCGACGACGGGUAGCCGGCCUGAGAGGGCGACCGGCCACACGUGGGACUGAGAUACGGUCCAGACUCCGUACGGGAGCA